ACUCGUGCCUUUGGCGACACAAUGACUCUGCAAAUUGUCCUGUGCCCAGAGGAAACAUUUUUCUGAAAACUUCUGCGCUGGGGCAGAUUUAGGGCAAAGUUAACACUUCAAAAAUAUCUCCAGUAAUUGAGUAAAUUGCUCAUCUGUCAAAUUGGCUCUUUGGCAAAUUACUCUGCUUGCACAUAUUAAUAGCCAAGCUUAGCCAACUUGAAAUAUGGAGAUUUACUGGAAAUCACAGUGAAGUGAAGAGAGAGGCAAGAGCAGAAUUGAAAUUCCCACCUGGCAGCAAAAGAGAGUUAUGCAGAGCCUAUCAGGACCCGUGUUCACACCAGCACUUAGUUUGGAGGAAGCACCUGGAGGAGAUGCAGAGUCCAGAUGUGCGCCCUCUGCCGGAAGCCUACUGCACCAGGACGUAGGCCUGGAGUGGCCCUUAACGCAUUUGGAAAUCAGUCUUCACUAAAAAAACUUCCUCCAAAAUGUUCUUUAACAGCCCUUUAAAAGCCAUUGUUUCAAAACAGUCCAAGGUGGUGAACAAUUAAUAUUUUCGAUUUACAUGAAGACUCUGGAGUAGGAAUUACCUGAGUUGGAAACUCAGUUCUACUCUAUUGGUAUCAGGUUGCAUUCUGUAUCAUCAUUAAAAUUUUCAGAAAAACUCUCAA